ACACCGCCCGGUGGCAACCUGCCCUUUGCUCUGCUCAUGACUGCCCAAGCCGCCGUGCCACGGGAGCAGCCAACUUGGGAGUAGCUGCCUGCAAUGAGCCCUCACAUGCAGAAAUGCCAGCAGGAGCACGUGGAAGUGUGUCAGCGAGGUUUAGCUGGUGGCUCACAUUGUGAAAUCUGCAGCCAUGAAAGGCCUUCCAUUUACUGCCCCCUUCAAAAGGAAAUAUUAGCAUGGGAGGCUAAGCUGGGUAUUAUGGAGUAGUGACUUGGAGUUCUGAUUCACAACUAAUUCCAGCGCAGGAAGAAGAGAGCUGUCAAUAUAAAAGGAGGCUAAUAACGAAGGAGUCAGUGAAGGAGACCAAUGCCACGAGGGUUAUCUUGCAGCCCCAGAUGCUGGAUAAGUUGAAGGAGACAGAAUGGCUUUUGGAUGACAUUCAGGAAGGCCUUGAAUGAUUAUUUGGUGAAGAAAAGGCUAUUCUUUC